rnacentral:ncRNA from 2 species
GGACGAGCCUCUGGAGAGACUCAAGAGAGCACCGAAGGAGCAAGGUAAAAUUUUUAUUUUACUGAAACUCUCAGGUAAAAGGACAGGGGAUAAGAU